UACAGAGGUGGCAAGCGUUGUUCGGAAUUACUGGGCGUAAAGGGCGAGUAGGCGGCCUUCUAAGUCAGACGUGAAAUCCCCCGGCUUAACCUGGGAACUGCGUCUGAUACUGGGAGGCUAGAGUAUGGGAGAGGGAUGUAGAAUUCCAGGUGUAGCGGUGAAAUGCGUAGAUAUCUGGAGGAAUACCGGUGGCGAAGGCGGCAUCCUGGACCAUUACUGACGCUGAAUCGCGAAAGCUAGGGGAGCAAAAGGG
rnacentral:rRNA from 1 species